rnacentral:rRNA from 1 species
GAUGCUACCUGGUUGAUCCUGCCAGUAGUCA